UACAGAGGUCCCAAGCGUUGUUCGGAUUCACUGGGCGUAAAGGGUGCGUAGGUGGUCGGGUAAGUCUGAUGUGAAAUCUCCGAGCUCAACUCGGAAAUGGCAUUGGAAACUACCUGGCUGGAGGGUUGGAGGGGGGACUGGAAUUCUCGGUGUAGCAGUGAAAUGCGCAGAUAUCAGGAGGAACACCGGUGGCGAAGGCGGAUCUCUGGGCCUUACCUGACGCUGAGGCGCGAAAGCUAGGGGAGCAAACAGG
rnacentral:rRNA from 1 species